AUUGAACGCUGGCGGCAGGCCUAACACAUGCAAGUCGAACGGUAACAGGAAGAAGCUUGCUUCUUUGCUGACGAGUGGCGGACGGGUGAGUAAUGUCUGGGAAACUGCCUGAUGGAGGGGGAUAACUACUGGAAACGGUAGCUAAUACCGCAUAACGUCGCAAGACCAAAGAGGGGGACCUUCGGGCCUCUUGCCAUCGGAUGUGCCCAGAUGGGAUUAGCUAGUAGGUGGGGUAACGGCUCACCUAGGCGACGAUCCCUAGCUGGUCUGAGAGGAUGACCAGCCACACUGGAACUGAGACACGGUCCAGACUCCUACGGGAGGCAACAGUGGGGAAUAUUGCACAAUGGGCGCAAGCCUGAUGCAGCCAUGCCGCGUGUAUGAAGAAGGCCCUCGGGUUGUAAAGUACUUUCAGCGGGGAGGAAGGGAGUAAAGUUAAUACCUUUACUCAUUGACGUUACCCGCAGAAGAAGCACCGGCUAACUCCGUG
rnacentral:rRNA from 1 species